rnacentral:rRNA from 1 species
UUGGAGGGCAAGUCUGGUGCCAGCAGCCGCGGUAAUUCCAGCUCCAAUAGCGUAUAUUAAAGUUGUUGCAGUUAAAAAGCUCGUAGUUGAAUUUCGGGAUCAAUUUAUCGGUCGUGCCUCUGGUAUGCACUGGUAUUAUUGAUUUCUACCUUCUGACGAACCAUGAUGUCAUUAAUUUGGUGUCAUGGGGAAUCAGGACUGUUACUUUGAAAAAAUUAGAGUGUUUAAAGCAAGCACACGCUUGAAUACAUUAGCAUGGAAUAAUGAAAUAGGACGUUUGACCCUAUUUUGUUGGUUUCUAGGAUCGACGUAAUGAUUAAUAGGGAUAGUUGGGGGCAUUAGUAUUCAAUUGUCAGAGGUGAAAUUCUUGGAUUUAUUGAAGACUAACUACUGCGAAAGCAUUUGCCAAGGAUGUUUUCAUUAAUCAAGAACGAAAGUUAGGGGAUCGAAGACGAUCAGAUACCGUCGUAGUCUUAACCAUAAACUAUGCCGACUAGGGAUCGGAUGAUGUUAAUUUUUUAAUGACUCAUUCGGCGCCUUACG